rnacentral:rRNA from 2 species
UACGUAGGUGGCAAGCGUUGUCCGGAUUUAUUGGGCGUAAAGCGAGCGCAGGCGGAAGAAUAAGUCUGAUGUGAAAGCCCUCGGCUUAACCGAGGAACUGCAUCGGAAACUGUUUUUCUUGAGUGCAGAAGAGGAGAGUGGAACUCCAUGUGUAGCGGUGGAAUGCGUAGAUAUAUGGAAGAACACCAGUGGCGAAGGCGACUCUCUGGUCUGCAACUGACGCUGAGGCUCGAAAGCAUGGGUAGCGAACAGG